GACGUAGGGCGCGAGCGUUGUCCGGAAUUAUUGGGCGUAAAGAGCUCGUAGGCGGCUUGGCAAGUCGGGUGUGAAACCUCCAGGCUCAACCUGGAGACGCCACUCGAUACUGCCAUGGCUAGAGUCCGGUAGGGGACCACGGAAUUCCUGGUGUAGCGGUGGAAUGCGCAGAUAUCAGGAGGAACACCGGUGGCGAAGGCGGGUCUCUGGGCAGUAACUGACGCUGAGGAGCGAAAGCGUGGGGAGCGAACAGG
rnacentral:rRNA from 1 species